GAUAUUCGACGUCAUAAACACCAUCAAGUUUGGUGUUUAUGACGUCGACAUUCGACGUCAUAAACACCAUCAAAUUUCGUGUUUAUGUCGUCGAAUAUCGACGUCAUAAACACGAUCAACUUUGGUGUUUAUGACGUCGAUAUUCGACGUCAUAAACACCAUCACGUUUGGUGUUUAUGACGUCGAUAUUCGACGUCAUAAACACCAUCAAGUUUGGUGUUUAUGACGUCGACAUUC